UACGUAGGGUGCAAGCGUUAAUCGGAAUUACUGGGCGUAAAGGGUGUGUAGGCGGUUUAUUAAGUCUGAUGUGAAAUCCCCGGGCUCAACCUGGGAACUGCGUUGGAUACUGGUAAACUAGAGUAUGUAAGAGGGGGGUGGAAUUCCACGUGUAGCAGUGAAAUGCGUAGAGAUGUGGAGGAACACCGAUGGCGAAGGCAACCCCCUGGGACAAUACUGACGCUGAGGCACGAAAGCGUGGGGAGCAAACAGG
rnacentral:rRNA from 1 species